UUCUCGAGGCUCGUACUCAACCGCCGUCCAGUGCAUCCAGCGCGUGGGCAGAAGCUACGAAAGAGAUAUGUGAGCCCCAAACUGGAGAGUAGGAGGAACUCAAUGGGAUUCAGACUUCUUGUCAGAUUUUAGCUAGUGCCGAAAGGAGCAUGCCUUGACCAAUUCCUCCCUAACUGUCUCUGUGCUGCCUUGGGCUGUGGGAUGGAUAACAGAACUUUUGAAUCAUCACUGGAAUAAACUCGUUAGAGCCUCUUCUUCAUAACACCGUAUCUGUCACUCAGGUACAAAGUCAUAAAAAGUACUGGACACCUUGGAUUUCUUGGUCCCUGAGCCUUGGACUCUGCAAAGGAAAUGUUCCAGUCCUCUUUCCAAGAAAAGGGCCUGCUGGCCUGCUGCCCAUCCUCUGUCGUGCCUUGAGGGAAUCUGCAUCGUUUGCCCUUUUCCAGAGGAAUGAGGGAGCAGUGGCCGCCUGGCAGUCUGGGGGGCACCUGGACAGCCACCCACUGGAGGGAGACAUCCACCUACUGUUGACUCCCCCUGCCAGUUGUGACACCCACACGUGUCUACCAGCAACCUUUCUCUGCGACCUCACCACACAUGAAGGAAGUGGCCAGACCUGCUCCGUCACCUGCCUGUGCAUCUCUGUCCCACCUGAGAGCUUCCACAGGCCCCGGUGCCUUCUUCCUCUUCGACAUCUGUCUUGUGCUCAUCUCCUCCGAGAAGCCUUCCAUGACUAAUCCUACUCUCAGCUCCAACUCAUCCCUUGAAGAUUUAUACAAACUAGAUUUAGCACCUUCUCACAAUGCAGUAAAAGAGGACAGGAGAGCAGCGUGUCACAGAGACUUGCACAAAGGAGACUAAGGUCAUAUGCUGUGGAGACCCUUCUGAGAAGGAAAACCUCACUGGAUUUUGUAAGAGACUAUAUGAAUGACCAGAGCUGGACACACAAUUUCAGGGCCCAGUGCAAAAUGACAACAUAGGCCCCUUGUUCAAAAACUGAGAACUUCAAGAUGGCAACAGCAGAUUGUAAAACCAAGUGCAGGGCCCUUCUGAGUGUGGGGCAUGGGGCCCCGUGGGACUGUACAGGCCACAUGUCCGUGAAGCUGGCCCUGGAGGUGACCUCUGAAGAAGCAGUUUCAGAAGCGUGAUGGGGGCCAGAAUCCGAUAUUGGAUGAUAUCAUCUCUGGAGAUAAUUCACCACUGACUCAUUCUUGUGACGUCAACAGGGGCAUUUCUCAGACUCACACUUGUCCAAGAAAUCAGAUAAGACACAUUUUCUACACUUGGGCAGGAGAAGCAAGAAUUUUGUCUGUGGAUUGCUUGUUAGUUGCUUGUUAGGCACUCUGCCACUGAAUGCUUGGGUGUCCGUUUUGGGAUUGUGGCUGAAUGUGGAACAGCAGACAUUUGGAAUCCUACCUCACACUCUUGUUCUCUCACACUGGCCAGGAGUUUAGCUAAAUAAGGCACAAGAGUUGAGCAUGGCUGUUGAUAGAGCGAUCUUCUCAGACUAGGGAAGCUUCCAAGGAAGAGCAGGCCUGGCGUGCCCAGCACAGCAGCUGCGGGAGAAGCGGGCAGUGUGUGUAGAUAGGAGAGUCCAACUGGAGCAUUCAUGUGGUUAGUCGAGGGUGGCUAAGCGCAGUGCUCAGCGGAGAAGGAACUGAGAGGGAGGGGGAAGCACACAAGACGGCGCACAUUGUAGGCCGGGGGUUGACAAAGUUGGGGCAGAAAUUCUCUGCCACUCAUUCAUCCGUUCAGUGAGGAUUUCCUGUGUGCCUCAUGUUCCAAGAACUGUGCUCAUGGAAGGGGACACAGACCCUGCUCUUAAGGUGCUGGGACUUCAGCAGUGGUUAACCCAGCCUGCACGUCAGAACCACUUGGAGGUCUCUUACAAAUUAGUUGUGCUUGGGCUUCGCCAGGACCAAUUAAAUUCACAUUUCUGUGGCUAGGGUCUAGGCACUCAAAAACUCCCGAGGCAUUUCUGGGGUGCCUAGGUGGUUCCGAUGGUUAAGCAUCUAACU